GUUUUAACCUGAACUUGGCGAUCGUGGUGAACAAUUCCUCCAAGUCUGCAACAUGCUUGCUUUUCUCCGGCGAGGUCACGACCAUGUCAUCCACGUACGCUUGCACAUUUCUUCCCAGCAUUGGUGCAAGUACUCGGUCCAUCAACCUCUGGUACAUGGCCCCCGCGUUCUUCAGCCCAAAAGACAUCACCUUGUAGCAGUAGCACGAUCUCUCGGUCAUGAAGGCAGUCUUCUCUUCAUCCAUGGGAUGCAUCUUUAUCUGGUUGUACCCCGAGAAGGCAUCCAGAAAACUCAACAACUUACACCCUGCAGCACUAUCCACCAGGGCGUCUAUGCUUGGUAAAGGAUAUGAGUCCUUUGGGCAAGCCUUAUUCAGAUCAGUGAAAUCGACGCACAUGCGCCAUUUCCCAUUACUCUUCUUCACCAGUACGACAUUUGCCAACCAUUCAGGGUACUGGACUUCCCUGAUGUGGCCUGCAGCGAGGAGCUUCUGGGUUUCGUCUCUAAUCGCCUGCCUCCUCUCCUCGUUGAACUUUCUUCUCCUCUGCCGCACUGGUCUCACCAAGUUGUCCAUCGCCAAAUGAUGGCACAAGAAGUCGGGAUCGAUCCCGGGCAUGUCCGAAGCGGACCAUGCAAACGCAUCCAGAUGCCGCUCUAUCACCUUGGCGAUCUGGUCCUGGAGCUCGACCUCCAGAGAUCUUCCCAGCUUGAAGAUCUUUCCUCCGAUCUCUCUCUCGAGCCACUGCUCGACGGGUUUUGGCCUGGUUUCUCUGGCGAUCACCGCCCUGGCGAUUCCCAGCUCCCUCGCUUCCUCAGGGCGAUUCCUUGCCUCUUCUUCCUCUAAACCGGCGUUCCCCUCCCCCAGCUCAGCAUCCACCAUCACCACAUCUCUUCCGGCGGUCUCUUCUAUUAUCGUCGAUCUGGGCUUCACGCCAGGAGGCGGGGUGGUUGUCACGUAACUCACCGACAUCUUGUUCUUCAGGCUAUUCUCAUAGUACUUCUUCGCUUCUUUCUGGUCGGAUUUGAUGGUGAUCACCACCCCCUCCAAAGACGGCAACUUCACCUUCAUGUGCCGGGUCGACGGUAUAACGCCUAUUCUGUUGAGCGUGGGUCUUUCCAGCAGAAUGUUGUAUGCUGAAGGGGCGUUUACGACAAGGUAUUUGAUUUUUUCUGUUCUCGAACCCGCCUCAUCUGUAAACGUAGUCCUCAACUCGAUGUACCCCCUGACCUCCACCUGGUCACCAGCGAAACCAUACAAACACCCUCCAUAGGGCCUCAGCUGGUCAAGGGGUAACUCCAACUGCGUGAAAGUUGGCCAGAACAUCACGUCUACCGAGCUUCCUUGGUCCACCAGAACCCUGUGGACCUUCCUUCCUGCUGUGAUCAGCGAGAUGACUAUGGGGUCGUUGUCAUGAGGCACAACGUCCCGAAGAUCUUGCUUUGUGAACGUAAUGUCCACAUCCGGCGAGUGGUCUUCAAACAUAUCCACCGUCAUCACGGACCUCGCGUACUUCUUCCUUUGUGACGCGGUGCAUCCACCACCCGAGAAACCCCCCGCAAUGGUGUGGAUUUCCCCGUGUGUAGGCAUCUCGUGCUGCUGAGCCUCUCCACCUGCUGGUUGGGAGCUCGACGCGCCCCCCGUCCUUCUGUCCAGCAAGUAGUCGUUUAGGAACCCGCUCUUGACCAGAUCGUCGAGCUGGUAUCCUAAAGCCAAGCACAAAUCCACGGUGUGGCCAAAGCCCUGGUGAAACUCACACCAGGCGUCUGGCUUUGGUCCCAGCACCUUGUCGCCCACCUUCUCGGGCGCUUUCAACCUAGCUGAUAUAUUGGGAAUGGCGAUCAGGUCCGCCAAUCCCAUGACAAACUUGUGCUUUGGCGGGCGAUUGUACUCCCGGCGUGCUAGUUGCGGGCGCCCUGGGCCCCUGCCCUUGUUCUUCCUUGGAUCAUAAGGAUGGCGAGUCCUCUGAUCCCUCCUGGCCGCCGCUGUCUCCAGCACUCUCUGUGGCUGGAUCCUGGUCUGGGCACGUGGCCUAGCGGGAGCCACGCUUCCCCUCUUCUCGGCGACCUCACUUUCAUCGGCGAUGUGGACCACCGCAAGUCGCCUGACCUCAGCAAAUGUGGCAGGGUGAGCCCUGAUCAAUGCCUUGCAGAAUGGUCCCGACAGCACGCCCUUCUUGAAUGCGUAGACCAGCAUCUCUUCAUCUUUGGCUGGCGAGCGGACCAUCUGCGCCCCAAAACGAUUCAGGUAGUCCCUGAGGGACUCUCCCUGGUACUGCCUUAUGUCGAACAAAUCAUAAGACACCCUGGGCGGUGCCUUGUUCAUGAUGUACUGCUCGACAAAGAUCUUUGAAAACUGUUGGAAGUUGGUUAUGUGACCUGUAGGCAGGCUCACAAACCAUUCCAGCGUCGUUCNNNNNNNNNNNNNNNNNNNNNNNNNNNNNNNNNNNNNNNNNNNNNNNNNNNNNNNNNNNNNNNNNNNNNNNNNNNNNNNNNNNNNNNNNNNNNNNNNNNNNNNNNNNNAAACAGCCUUCACAGGUACCACACUCGCAGGGAUGGGCGUGUCGGUAAUCGCCUGAGCGAAAGGCAUAGGAAAAACGCGAGGCGGCGUCGACGGCGCGACCUCUUCAGCGACUGGGCGCCCUCGCUGCUCCUGAAGAGCUUGACGCAGUUCUUCAGUCACUCUGCUAAGCUCAUCAUUCCUGGCCCGAGAGGCGACCAGAUCCUUGUGCAUUCUCGCCUGCUCUAUGCGCGAGGCUUCCACAUUCGCCUGCAGCGAACGCAUGAUUUCCACCAUCUGCGCCAUAGUCAUGGCGCCUUCAGCAGCAACGGGCGCAACUGGACUUGAACGGUUGCUUCUCAUUUUUCUCAUGAAAACUUGACGAAUCAUAGAGUGAAAUGAACAACACCUCCUUCAGCGGCGAUCGAUUCCGCGAUCAAUCGGUCAGAACUUCGCGAAACUUCGAAAGAAACCUCAAGAGCACAGGAAACCUCCAUAGAAACCCGCAACUCCACCAAAAGCCAACGCUUCUUCCACGAAAAACCAAACGAGCCAAAGAACUUAGAUCUCACCGAACAAAACUCGCGUAAGCAGCAGAAAACUUCACCUCACCGAACAAAAACCCAAACGAACGGUGGAAAACGCGAAACCACCGAACAAAACCUAGACGAACAGCGAACAACCACACAGAAACUGCAGAAACCUUCAAGAACUCACGCUGUGGAUGGGAACAGGUUUUACACGGCCCCACGGUGGGCGCCUGAUGAUCCUGCCUGUUGACCAAAACGCUGGAGUUUUGCCUCGUCAAACUUGGAUCGACGUAUGCGCCGUGUUUGCCUCCGUCCUUCGCCGCGAUCCACCUCAAGAACCUGCAAAAGACGAAACGACGCCGCUGCGGCCGAUCGCACUCCAACGCCCAAGUCAGUGACUGAACCACCAAUUACUAAGAGUAACACUUAAGAACUCUAAGGAACCGUGAACCAGUUCUCUCUCAGUAUACUCAAGAACUCGCAAGCGUAAAGAAGACAAUCUGAACGUGCAUACCUCAGAAGUUCGUUGGAAACUCUUAUAUACCUGGACACUUUCUCUCUCCUGGCAGUUACACAUCUGGACACGUGGCUCGCAUCCAGCUGUACACGUGCCAUCAUCUGGAGCAUCCUUGACUUGGGCGCUACUUCUGACUCUCCUUUGGCUAAGUUACUUAUGCAUGAUACUACUCAGUGCAUAGUUGUCUUGGAGCGCGAUCCCUUCUGGAUUGGCGAGUUAGGGUGCCUUCGUAGACACCUUCCCUGUGGUCUCGCCGGCCGCCUUCAUGAUCUGCACCACCUGUUUCACCGUGUAUGCUCAAGCAAGCUGUCCCCCGACCUCAUCCUCUGGCCAGCUGGGAAAUGUCUAUCUGCCUUCAUCUUCGGCGAUGUCCUUGUUUCGGCGAUCUCUAAUCACUUGGUCGCCUGGGUUUACAUCUGGCGACUUCAUCUUUAACCCGGUGACCGCCGGUUCUGGUGUGCUGGAGAUCGGAGCACGCCAACUUAAUAACUGGCGACUACAUGAGCCCCCCGACUUCCUUCCCUUCUGCCAGCCAGGCGUCCCAUCAACACGCCUAUACAAUAGAUUGAUGCCACGUCAUCACUUCCGACUACCAGGGCGGUACAGUAUCAAGUUUAUGAACUUCCUAUACUAUUCAACAAAUCAAUUGAAUUGUCAAUUCCAGCAAGCAUUAUAGGAAAAUGAAAAGUGAAAACUGCACCAAAUAACUAAUGGUUUUCACACUAAUAAAAAAACAAACAAACACCAGUUGCUGCAGGUUUCUAAAACCUACAACAUUCAAGAAUGAACCAAUUCAUCGAAUCAAAUACUAAAAUUUGCACCGAAAUUAGUGCUCUGUUUCAACAGUCCCAGGAUUGAAUCAAUUAUGCAGCGAACCAACACUCAGAUGCAAAUACACUAAUUACAAACAAGAUUAGAGGUGCACAAAUCCCUCUCCUUCGUCACUCACAUUGAAAACAACACUACCGUACUCGCGUCCACCACCUCUCCAACCUUCAACCUCACCAUUAAAACACGCAACGCAACAAGAAAAGUCUAUUUGGUUUCAAAACAAAAAAUGCAAAAACACAAAAUCUAUUUUAUAUAUAAUUUUCACUUAGAAUAUAAAUGCAUAAAUCGUAUCAAAACGCAUAAAUCACAUACUAACCUAGAAAAUGACAAAGAUAGAGUUGAAGGCAAUGCAAAGCAACACCGUCGAAGAUCGUUGUGCCGUGCGCCAAGUUGUUCAUUCUCAUUUUCUUUCUAUCAGAGUAACAUUUUUGUUUAAGAAAAAUGAAGAAAAGUGGAAAAAGGAAGAAUGAGAGAAGCGGGAAGCUGAAACAAUGGCAACUAAAUAUGACAAGAGAUAAAAUGGGAAAAAUGAAGAAUGAGACAAGCGGGAGAAAACAAAAGUGGGAAAAAAUUUGGAUUUUUUUCUUUUAAUUUUAAUUAUAAAAAAUAAAUAUUAUUAUUAUUAUUAUUAAAAUAAACAAUUACAUUUAGCGACAAAAAAAAUUCGGUAACUAAAAAAUAGAUAUAUUUGGUGGCUGAUUCGGUGACAAAAAUAAACAAUUAUAUUUAGCGACCAAAAAAAAAAUCGGUGACUAAAAAAUAAACAUAUAUAGUGGCUAAUUCGGUGGCAGAAAAUAAACAAUUAUAUUUAGCAACCGAAAUAAAAUCGAUGGCUAAAAUAUAAACAUAUUGGGUCGCUAAUUCGGUAGCAGAUAUAUCUUUCCCAAUUUAUUCAAAACAGCCACCACUUUAGUGACCGAUGAUUUUGUCACUCUCAUGUUCGGUCGCUCAUUCGGUCGCAAAACUAACUAACAUCAUUAACAAUUCAUUCGGUCGCUAUUUCGAUCGCAGAUUUGACACUAAGAAUAUUCAGUAACUAUUUCGGUCGCAAAUUGCGACCACUUAUUUUCAGUCGCUGAAUUCAGUGGCUAAAUUGUUAUUUUAUUGUAGUGUGUGUUUUUUAAGUGUCUUAAUUAUAUUAAAGACUAGAGGGAAUAAUUUACUUUGUAUAACUCGGAAUGGAAAAGCUUGUUUAUGCAAGUUAUAGAAAUUAAAACUACAUGCAAUAUUAGUCUGCAGAUUCUCCACCUAAAGAUUUAUAUAUAAAAAUAAUAUAAUGACAAAUUCUUCCUACACCUUAUAAUAAAUUGUCACUUACAUUUCAUUGCUUUUUAAAUUUCUAAGUUGUCUUCUAUUCUAGAAAUGAAUAUUCAGAAUUCAAAAAAUACAUUCUGAAAAUAAUUUUGGAAUAAUUUUUAUGUUUCAGAAUGAAACUUUAAUAUAAAAUUCAAAAUCUUAUUCUGAAAAAUUAAUUUGAAAACAUAAAAAGUACAUUUUUAAAAAAAAUCCAGAAAUAUAUUUUAUUUUAAAAAAUCAAUUCCAAAAAACAAAAUUCAAAAAUAUAUUUCAGAAAAAGAUUCUGACAAUUAAAAAAAUAUUUCUCGUAAACUUGCUGUUGGACAAGAAUUAAGAAAUAUUCUGAUAUACACCCUUCUUUUAUUUAAAGGUAUUUUUGUCAUUUUGAUCCGAUGGAGGAAAUAAUUACUAAAUAUAAAUAAAAGGGCUGUUUAGGAUGAAACUUCUGUAAUAGACCUUCAAAUUCUCUAGCAGUUCAUGGACUUUAUUAUAAAAAAGAAACUUUUUAGCACGAGAUAUCUCUUCAUUUAUUCAGCAUCCUCGUUAAAUUAGUUGAGUUUUUCAGUGUUUGAAAUAUAUAAGAUAGUUAGUCACGUUAAAAGAAAAAAAUUACUUAAAUUUUUAAGCUACAUUAAACGUCUAAUUACAUCUCCUGUUUUAUUUAUUUUAUGUUAAAAGUAUUCCAAAUACUAAAUUAGGUGUUAUCAAUUUUGAUUUUGAUUUUUUUAAUCAUUUAAACAUAUAAACUAUUUACUAAAUAGUUCAAACAUGGGGUGUUUCUUCCUCCACCCUCCUGCAUCCCAUCAAUUAAGUGAAAUGAUCAAAAUAUCUUAUUUGAUUUUUCGUUUUUUCAUAACUGAAAAUUUUAUUCUGAAAAAUACAUUCCAUAACAUAUAUAACAUGUUUUCUGAAAAUAUAUUUUAUGAUUUUGAAAAAUAUGUUCCGAAAACAUUUUGAUGUUUUGGAAUAAGAAAUUCAGAAACUAUUUUAAAAUAGAUAAAACAAUUUUUUUCAAAAAUAAUGUAGUAGAGGGAGAAAUUUGUUGCGAUUCAAGGAGAAACUCCUCCAAAUUUGUCUCAUAACUCUCCUCCAACGGUUUCUUCUUCCACCUCCAUAUAUUCUUUUCUCACUUUCAUAAAUUUUUAUAUUUUCAAAAAUAUCUUUCUGUAAUAUUCUGGAUUAUGUAAUCUGGAAGUCUUUUUUCAAAUUCGUAAUUAACUUUCAGAUUAUAUAAUCAAAAAACAUUUUUUCAUAUGCAUGAUUAAUUUUCGGAUUACAUAAUCUGAAAGUAUUUUUUAGCUUCCAAAUUAUGUAAUCCGAAUGUCUUUUUUCAAAUGCGUGUCUAGAAUACAUAAUCCAAAAGCUACUCUAUGGGAUAACACAAAAAGGAUAAAAAAAAAUAUUUUCAUGUUUCGUAUGGAGUUACAGAAGAAUAUAUGGAGGUGGAGGAAAAAACAAUACUCUCCUCCAUUAAAAUUGGACCUUCAGGGCUAUAAGAAAAAAAAGCACAUUUUAUUAGGGCAAUUUUUUCCUGCACCAUAUCUGAUGGAAGACGCCCCAAGCACAACCUUCCAUGAAAGGCAAGGACAAGAGCGUCUAGGACAAAGGCAAGAGCGUCUAGGAUCAAGGCAAGAGCGUCUAGGACAAGGGCAAGAGCGUCUAGGACCAAUCACAAGGUCCAUGUCCAAGAGAGUGGAAGAAGAUUUGGAUCAAGCAUAUGUCUCCAAGAAGACCCAUCAAGUGUAGCCUAGUUUUAAUUGUGGUGCAAAUAGCCUAGCAUUGUGAACCUUUGUUUAAAUUCUGCAAAUUAGGAUUAAGAAAGGAUUAACCUAGAUUAGCUACGGUUUUCUAGAACCUACCACUAAUCUAGGACCGACCAUGUGAAGGUUAGGAGGCCAUGUGCUCCAUGUGCCUCUCAUUUGCAUGUCAUUUAGGUUACAUUUGCUUCUCAUUUACUUUGCCAUUUACGGUCCUCCUUAGGCUAUAAAAAGGAGGAGCCUACCUCAUGUAAUUUUAAGAUUAAAUUGAGUAUUUUUAUGCUGCCAAACUUGAGUCAUACUUUACUCCCUUGCCUAGAAUUUAGGUCUUAAUCUUCAAUCCUUUCACCUUUCAAAGGGGUUGGCCAAACCUCCCUAAAUUCCCUACUCUUCAUGUACCUCCAAGGCAGCCACACCUCCUAGGAGGGCCUUGAUCCAUCAACAAACCACCCAAAAACCACAAAAGAGAAGAGUUCAAUGCCAUCAAUAUCAAUUCUUACAUGCACCCUAUCAUUUCUUUAAUUUCCAAAAUUACCCUUAUUCCGGAUUUAAAAAUCUGGAAUAGAAAAUAUAAUUAAAAAAAACAUUCCGUUAUUUUGGAAGGGCAGGUUGGGUUGGAAUUGGUAUGUAGGUAAUACCCACUGACUCCAAGUCAGUAGGCAAGUGGGACUCGAAGCCAAGUCCCUUGAAGAAUGUCCAUAGAAGUUUUAACCAUUACACCAGUCAAGUUUUGUUGUCAUGUUAUGAUUAUUAUUAUAAUUAUGAAUAUGAUUAUCAAUAUUAAUAUAAUUAAUAAAAUAAAAAUUAUUAAUAUUAUUAAAUAUUAUUAAUAUUAUAAAAUAUUAUGAAAUACUAUUAAAUAUUAUUAAUAUUAUUAAAUUUUAAAUAUUAUUAAUAUUGUAAAAUAUUAUUAAUAUUAUUAAUAUUGUUCGUGCCAGUUGACCAGAUUGUGCUUCGUGCGUAGCUAAGACUCGCGUAUCAAGGACUCCUUCAUCUUUGUUCCAAAUCUCCACCCUUCGCUGUUGUGAGUACCUGAAACAGAGAGAACAAAGGGCGCCCUCACGGCUGUUUACACUCCGACGCUCAAGUCAGUAUAGUAGUAAAACACCGUGCACCCUCCGUAUCGGAACACCGCAACUGUAGUGUUUUGAAGGUGCGUAACUGUUUUCUAACUAACUUCUCUCUUGUGCUCAAAUCACUCGUGCGUACAGUGUGUAAGUGUACAAAUGAUUCAAACGUACCUUACUAAGCUUUCAGAAAAGCUUAUAUACCUUGGAUUUCAGUGCUUCUGCCACGUGUCACCUAGGACUUAAGCGCAACUCUGGGUAGAGGCCUUACGACGCUGUAACCCAACUUAGAGAAAUCCCAGCGCGUAAGCCUCCCUUCCUUGAAGUGCAUCUGGCGUGAGGGGUGACUACCUGGGUGCCAACUCAUGCGCCCCAGCCUCUAGUCACUCGCCCUGGGAUUAUCUCUGCCUUCCUCUCGUACCAUGCGUGUAGAUUACCCUCUGGGACGUGGUCCUCUCCCAGGUCGUAUAUGUCCCAGUGGUUCUUCAAAGGUGGCGUGCACUGCCGCGUCUUUACACCUCAUGCAUGGGUACUUCACGAGUCAGGCCUCUCCCUGCUGGUACUGGGAGUAUGGCUUUGAAACCAUCUUUCUCUUCUCUUUAUUACUCUUAUGAGAUGCCGAGGCCCGAGGCCUCCACGCCCUUACCGAGGCCUCUUAUCGCGCUGCCCCCUCCACGGUCACUCCAUCCCGCGGGUAUCGGGGGGUGGCCCUUCCUAUCUAUGGGCGCGUCCUAUGGCGCUGCCUCCUCCACGAUCGUUCCUACCCGUGGGUAUCGGGAGGUAGCGCCCAUCGGAUGUAAGUACCCCUUGGUUCGGACACAGUCAACGCCCGAGGUUGGUCAACGCCCGAGGUUGGUCAACGCCCGAGGCCUGACCAUCUUCCUUCUCGUCUCCCUGUGCCCUCAAUGGGUCCUACCAAGUGUUGACUUUGGUCAAUGCCCAUGGACGGGUCGGUACAAAUAUUAUUAAAUAUUAUUAAUAUUAUUAAAUAUUAUUAAUAUUAUUAAAUAUUAUUAAUAUUAUUAAAUAUUAUUAAUAUUAUUAAAUAUUAUUAAAUAUUAUUAAUAUUAUUAAAUAUUAUUAGUAUUAUAAAUAUUAUUAAAUAUUAUUAAUAUUAUUAAAUAUUAUUAGUAUUAUAAAUAUAAUUAAAUAUUAUAAAUAUUAUUAAAUAUUAUUAAUAUUAUUAAAUAUUAUUAAUAUUAUUAAAUAUUAUUAAAUAUUAUUAAUAUUUUUAAAUAUUAUAAAUAGUGUUAAUAUUAUUAAUAUUAUAAAUAGUGUUAAUAUUAGAAAUAAUGUUAAUUUUAUAUAUAUUUUUAUUAAUAGUAUUUAUAUUAUUAAUGUUAUUAUUACUAAUAUUAUUAUUAUUAUUAUUAUUAUUAUUAAUAUUAUUAAUAUGAUUAUUAUUAUUUAUGAAUAUUAAUUAUGAUUUUAUAAUUUUUCAUAUAUAUUAAUAUUUUUAAUAUUAUGUAUAUAAUUAUUAUAAUAAUAGUUGGUAGGUAAUGGAAAUUCGUGGGUGAUAGUUCGUAGAUAAUAGAGAUUCGUGGGUAAUAGUUGGUAGGUAAUAGAGAUCCGUAAGUAAAAGUUGGUAGGUAAUAAGAUUUGUGAGUAAUAGUUGGUAGGUAAUGUUGAAUUUACCUACGGAUUCAAAAUCUGUGAGUAAUGUCCAUAGAUAAUGUUGUUCGUAGGUAAUAUCCGUAGGUAAUGCUGAAUUUACCUACAGACUCAGAUCCGUGGGUAAAAAUCCGUAAAUAAUACUGAAUUUUUUAGUUCCUAAUAGUUAGGCAGAGAGAAUCCCCUCAGUUGUUCUAAAUGAUUUUAGGAGGGGUAAGAAAUAUAAAUUUUAUCUCCUCUCUCAGAGUGUUUUGUCUAUUUUUCCAUCAUUGAGGAAAACAUGUAAAAAUAUUGUAUUAUUUUUUUUCAUUAAAAUCUAUCAUGUAAAAACGGUACUAUGUAGAAACAAAAUAGGUAAAACUUGAGAAAGUUUUAUUCAAUAUAGAACCCAAGGCUCACUUCAUAAAGAGAUUAGUGUGUUUGUAUUUUUUUUUUUCACUAACCAAAUAUUAUAUAAAAAUUGAAAAGAUUUUAUGUGAUAAAUUAUAAUAUAAAGAUGUCAAUUUGAACUUCACAAAACUAUUCCUAAUAUAAAUUACUCACAAAAUAAAGUUAUUUUAGUAAAUUAUAUCAUUAUCUAACUAAAUUACACAAAUAUUAUUUCCUUACACAGAUUAACCUAAAUUAAUUUAUUAUAAUCUCAAUAUUUUACAAAUUAUAAUAACACAACCAAUAUUGUAAAAUAUUUUUUUUAAAGAUGUCUAAUUAAAAUUAAUUUAUUCCAAACAUAUGUGUUCUUCUUCAUCAAACUUACACCAUAGGAUAAUUGAUGCAAUCUAAAAGAAUCUCUUCCUAGCAAUUUCUACAUUGAGAAUCAAACUUCAAUCUAAUAUCAAUUGUUGAAUUGAUGUUUAUCAUCAAGCUAAAUGUUACGAUGAUUAUGUUAGAGAUACUUUUUCUACUUAAGUGCAUAAAUAUAAGUAUCAUAAUUCAAUUAUGACUUGACUUACUUAACCUAUGUCAUGGUACAAUUGAUGCACAAUGUAAAAAUAUAACAAAACUAAAUUAAAAUUAGUCACUCAUGUUCUCACUUGGGAGUAAUUCUACUAAUUAGAAGUUGAUACAAGUUGAUACAAAAUGUUUGAAGAUAUGUUUCCCAAGCACCCUUUUGACAAAUUAGAAUCUUUUUACCUACCAAAAUAAUGUAAAUUGUAGGGACUUAUUUUUUCAUGAUAAUGUAAGAGUGUGAUAUAAAUUUUAAAAGGAUCUAGAAAAAAGUUGAAAACAAAAAGAGUUAGUUUACCUAUAUAUCGUUUUUAUUAACAUACGAGUUUUGGUUUAAUCCCCAUACUUUUUUGUAUUUUCUUUCUUUUUUCUUUUAAUAAUAUUUUUUUCAUGUGAUGGCAGAUGAUUGUUGUUACUUGAAGUAUCAACCUAGCUGAGAUGUGAAAUUGAAUAGUGAUGUCUAACAUGAAAAAUUUAUAAAAAAAAUAUGAAAAAUUUAUUUCUUUUUCUUUUUCAAAAUAGAAAAAAAAAACUUAUUUUGUUUUUCAUUCUCUCAUCUUCAUUUCUCCUUUUUCCUACUCUUUAAAUUCAAAGCUCUAAAAUUAUUUUCUUCCUUCAUUGCAAAAUUUGACCAAUAAUCUAACUUACUGAGUUUUGUGUUAGGUAACUUUUUUUUUUCUUUUUUCUUCAAUUUCUACUUCUUUAUUGUUCUUACAAGAAAAGAACGUAGAUCUUCCGAGGUAAGAGAAUGUGGUUUUCCUAGCAAGACGGGUUGUGAUCUCAAGAUAUGAUUGUUGAUGUCUUUGAAGACAAUGAUGAGAGAUCCACCUGUAGAAACACUUAAGUCAGUGGGAACAAAAGAAAUUAUGAGUAUAUAAGUGAGUAUGAGAAUUGAGUGAGUACUCUUUGUGGGAUUGAUCUAUAUUUAAAAUGCAUCCCUAAAUAUAUCACCAUAAUGAGGGUGGCGCAUAUAUGGAUGCAUUAUUUGUGUCACCAUUAUUAUGGGGCACAUAUAGGGAUGCAUUUUAUAGAUAUUUUUUUUUUAUUUGUGCUAAGGUAUUCAACAAAUAUUCUUCACUAUGCAACUUUUCAAGUUGCAUAGUUUCAUUUAGUAUUAUUGUAGUUGUCGUUACUGUUAUUUAUUGCGUAACUUGAGGUGUUCUUUGACUCGGUCAGUUAGUCACCAAACCUGGCUCAUCCAGUACCAAUCGAUACAAAUGCAAUUUUUUUUAAAUAUUUCUUUAGUUUUACUCUUUUAACUUCUACACAUAGUUCAUGAAAUAGAAAAAUAAUAGGAAUAAAAAUAUUCUGGUCAUAUUUUUAACGUAGUACUUUCAAAAACUAUGUUAAUUUUUUACACAUUUAUAUAUAUAUUUUUUAAAAAACUUGUAUUACUUAAUAAUUUUAUAUUUAUGCAUUUUUGUUUUCCACAUGUGUAAUUAAAAUAUAAGAUACAAUAGAUAUAAAUACUUUUUAAUUUUUCUUUCUGAAAUACAAACUAAAGUUCUGAUAAGGAGAGUCUUAUUCUAAGUCAAAUUUAAUAUUUGGAAGAAAGAUUAAAAAGAUUUUUUUACUGGAAAGGAAGGUUUUGUAUGAUUUUAAUUAUAUUUUUUCAAUAAAUUAUAUUAAUAUUUAACUUUUAAGUAUCGUAUCAUUUUUAAUAGGUAAAAUGCAUAUUAUUUAAUAUAUUUUACAUAUAAUUAUUUCCAAAUAAGAUUUAAGUAAUAUGAACAGGCUAUAUUGAUGAAAGAGAAUUAGAUAAUUUCAUACACAAUGUUUAAUCGUUUAUUAAAAAAAAACAAUGUUUAAUCGUAGGUGUUAAUAUAUGGUGCAAAUUAUAACUAAAUUUAAAUAAAAAUAUAUAUACGUUUUAAUUUCAAUCAAAUUAAAAAAUGGAAUAUUGAAAAAACUUGAAAUAUAUUUUUAAAUAAGAAAGGUAAAGUAUAGAAGAUAAAAAUUUAAUAAGAGUGAUUAAAAUUAUAAUAUUUUAUACAUGUAUAUAUAAUUUAUUACAGUUUAUAAUUAAUAGAUUUACGGAAAAAAGUUAAACGGACAUUUUAUGUUGUUCAAAAAAUAAAACAAGUUAAAAAAUAAAUAAAGUAUAAGAUGAAAUAUAAACUCUACUUAUUCAAGUUCAUGUCAUUUUUUACAGAUUUAUUUUUUUUACUGAAUAAAUUAAAUUUACAGGAUACUUGAAAGGUAUCUCAACCCGUAUACAAAAAGCUAGAAGCCUAAAGCUUGGUACCCUCUCUGUUUUCAAAUGCAACUAACAAUUGCCGCCCACAAUCUUAGCCACACCUGGUUUUGUUUAUUAGAGAGAUAGAUUAAGUGGAAAUUCUCCAUAUGAUUCUUAAUACCCCUGUUUUGGGCCCCCAAAAUACCGAUCCAACGGUAGCACCUUGACCAAACUCGUUGUGCAAAAACAUAGUCAAGGAAGAGGUGUUGAUAGGAUUCUUCUAACAUAUUGCAUAAUGCACAUAAAGGCGAAUUCACCAACACACCCCUUUUUAUAAGAUUAACUCUAGUUGGAAUUUUAUCCAAAAGUACUCUCCAAGCAGUGACAAACACUUUUGGCAUGGUUUUUUGCUUGCCAUAAACUACAAAACACACCUUCCCUUAUGCCAACUUGUUGAUGGUUGGCCAAAAUAUAGUAGGUUGAUUUAACCGAAAAAUACCUUUCGGGUCCCCCUCCAAAGGAGAUGGUCCUGGGCUUCCUUACACAUACUCCCCGUACUAAGUAUAGAUAGCAAAUAUGUCUCCAAAUUACACUAUCAUUCGUACUUGUCCCUUCUCCAAUUCAACCCCCACCGCCAUCUAUCCUCUUCCCAUCUUCCUACCUCCCCCACUAACUUACCUUGAUCGCAAGACAAAGAGUAGAGUCUGGGAUGCAGUGUUUUCAUACUAAUGGAUUGUAUCCACACAUCCUCCCAAAAUCUCACUGUGGCCCCGUUGCCUACUUUCCAAGCAGUAGCCUUUUGGAACCAUCCUUCUUCAACCUCGUCACCACAUAUCUUGGCUAGAUCCCUCCACCACCAAGAUUGGUAAUUUAACCUAGCCUGUCUUAUAUAUGGUUUUGUACCGUAUUUGGAUACAAAAAUUUCUUUCCAUUUUCCUCCCUCACCAGACAUAAGCCGUCAUUUCCAUUUUGCCAAAAGAGUUAAAUUAAAAUUCAUAGUCUCCUUCACUCCCAAACCUUCUUCCUCUAGGGGCUUACAAACAUUGUCCCAACUAACCCAAGAGAUCAAUUUGUUUUGUCUUCCCCAAUCCCAAAGAAAUUUUCUUUGAAUGCUGCUUGAUCCUGCUGGUUGACCUAGCGCAAGAGCGUUGCCUCGUCACGAUCCUCCUCACCAGCUUGACACCACGUGCCCUUCAAGUCCACACCACAGAUAGUCUCUCUGAGAACCUGAAAGCACAAGAUGGCGCCUCUACGGCCGGUGGCGCUCCGACGCUCAAGUCAGUAACAAGAACACCCAAAAACUGAGAGAAAAUAUACUCUGUAGAACCGUACUAAGGUGCACACAACCCUAUCAAUGAGUCGUAAUGAAAAACGUACCUCUGCAAAUUCUGUUAAGUUUACCUUUAUAGCUAGGUUUUUUCUCGCUCCAGGCCGUUAUGCUUUUGGACGCGUGACUCGCAUCCAACCCUGCACGUGUCGCCAUCUGGGCUGGGGUAGCAGGUAGCAUCCAGCCCUACACAUGUCAUCAUCUGAGCUAGGGUAAUUCGAGCGCCAUUUCCAUAUUGCAUCUAACCCUACACGUGUUGUCAUCUGGGUUGGGGUAGCAGGUAGCAUCCAACCCUACACGUGUCGUCAUCUGGGUUGGGAUAACUCGUGCGUUAUACCUGUGUAGUAACCAGCCGCGCGGCUAAGUCCUCUACUCAAGGAGUAACCUAGCAUGCAAUACGUUCUGGAACACCACCCGACAAGGCAAGUAUCGGAUGCAGCGAAGUGCACCAUCUCUGUGAUAUCGCUUGUCGCAAGUGGCACCUUCCUCGUUGCUACACCAUGCAUGUUCCAGCUGAGGAAACCUUGCCACCAACGGAUGUCCACUCUGGGAAUCAUUUCGCUGAUGGGCAAGUUGUUCCCUUCAACCCACACGACCUUCACGCCUCAUGCCGGCGCAACAAUCAUCUUACUGAACCUACACGCUUGAACUGACUCUUCUGAGCUUCCAGCAGCUUUAACUAAGCUUACCGGGAGAUUCGGCGAUGUUCUCCUUGUGGUGAUGUCAGACCACCUGAUCUUCCAUUAUUCAACACGUCGAUGACACAGAAAUCCAGCGACAACCGACUAUUUGCACCGCAGAACGCCACUUCCUCGAACGGCGAUCAUGUGCACCGCAGAACGCCACUUCCCCAAACGGCGACCAUGUACACUUCUGAACCAUCCCUCUUUCUCUUGUCCACGUGUCCUGCUGAGCACGCCCCACACCGUCACUUGCUGGACACGUCAUCACACGUCAUCACACCCGAUGACCUGGUCGGUACACUGCUGAUUUUGUUACACACUGCUACCGGGGCUUUGAAUAUAGAAAGGUAAAACAAUGGUAUGGCAGUGAACACCGAUUUUAGUAGACAAAUCCGACCUGCCAUGGAUAGGAAUCUCCCUUUCCAUGAACUAAGUCUAGCUUCAAUUUUCCUUACUACCGGUUCCCAAAACUGUUUCUUCCUUGGAUUUCCUCCCACUUCUACCCCCAGAUAUUGGAAGGGGAUCCUCAUGGUAUUACAAUUUAAAGUCUUCGCGUAUGUAUUCAUGACAAAACUAUCCACACCGAUUCCUGCCAACUUAGAUUUGUGGAAGUUGACUUUUAAACCUGAAACCAUUUCAUAGCACCAAAGGAUGACCUUGAUUGCAAAAAUAUUAUCAAAAGAAUCUUCACACAUGAAAAGUGUGUCAUCUGCAAACUGUAGUAGGUAGCACUCAAUGUUGUUCCUUCCCACCUUUACUCCCUUGAGCAUAUCCUUUCUCAAAGCUUGUCUCACCAUCCCUACUAAACCUUCAGCCACCACUAAGAACAAGAAAGGAGCCAAUGGAUCCUGUCUCAACCCCCUAGAAGGUUUGAAUUCCUCGAAGGGGCUUCCGUUGACCAACACCGAUACAGAUGACGAAGCUAGAAACCCUUUAACCCACAAUAUCCAUUUGUCAUGAAAACCCAACCUCCGCAGCAUAUCAAGCAAAAAACUCCACCUUGCAGAAUCAUACGCCUUUUCAAAGUCCACUUUGAAACAUACCCCACUCUUCGUCUUCCUCCUAGUUUCCUCGAGAACUUCGUUUGCCAUAACAACGUUGUCCUUAAGUCCUUUGUCGCUUAGGAAAGCUGACUAGAAAUCGUCAAUGAUCAAAGGCAUGAUUUUCUUCAUACAACAUGACAGGAUUUUGGUAAUGAUCUUAUAGAUAACUCCAACAAGUGAUAUGGGUCUGCACUGAUCAAGCAAAGAAGGGUCCAUUUACCUUGGGAACAAGAGCAAUGAAGGACGCAUUACAACCUUUUGGGAAUGACCCUGUAACAUGAAAAAAAUUCAUAGUUGCCAUUACGUUUGAUUUAAUCACAUCCCAACAGCUCUGAAUGAAAUUAAAGUUGAACCCGUCCGGGCCUGGGCUCUUUGACCCUCCACAUUGCCACACAACGUCUUUCACUUCUUCCUCAGAGAAGCUAACGAUCAUAUUCCUACUCACCUCCAAGGUAAGGGAUUUCAACUCCAUUGAUCCCAGAUUUACACCCACGUCCUGUGUAGCCAUGAACCUCUUUUCAACAGCAAUUUUGCUUCCCUACGUACUAUUUGCGGAUCCUCACACCUUUGGGAAUCCACCUCUACACCUUUGACCUCAUUCUUAAGUCUUCUUCAUCUAAUUCCACUGUGGAAGAAUUUAGAGUUCAUGUCUCCGUGCUUGAUCCAAUUCACUCUUGCUUUUUGUCAGUAGAUUGAAUCUAACUUUUUGUCAACCAUCCCCAAUUGACUGAGCAGUUCCAUCCUUCUCAUCCUCUCGUUUUCCUCUAAACCUUCAUCGUCAUCCUUUCCAUCCAGCUCCUCAAUUUCGGAUAGAAUACGUCUUUUAUUAGAUUCCACACAGCCAAAAACAUUUCUGUUCCACUCUUUAAGAUCAGCCUUCAAGAAUUUCAGCUUAUCUUUGAGAAUGGACAUGCUAUUACCUUGCACCUCAUACGAAUCCCAAUUGUCCUUUACCAUAGCCUUAAAGCCCGGUUCCUUAAGCCACACAUCAAAGGAUCUGAAUGGUUUAGGACCCCAAUCUUUAACACACAAUUUCAAUACUAGAGCACAAUGACGUUUUGCUUUAAGAUGAUACCCCACAAUUGCGAUAAAACCAGUUCCUACUAUGUGGUUGCCAUAAGAAAAGGCUUCUUUAUGCCACAUUGUUACUACGCUCCCUGCCCCAUUAAUCCCUUCAUUAAGAACCCAACUGAAAACAGUCGUUUUGCUAUCAAAUUAAUACGAUUCAAGCGUAGACUUGUCCAAUGUUUGAAAGAUGAUAAUAUAAAAGUGGUCAGAUCACCCAAGUCGUCUCCCAAAGAAUCCAAUAGUGAGUCCAGUGAACAAAAUUCAAAACUUAUCUGUAAGCAAUAAGGAUUAGCAACAACAAUAAUAAUAAAAGGGAAUUGUGAUUGUUAAGCAAGAAAAUAUAGAUGAUGAUUUAAAACAGUAAAGAAUGCAAGUUGACUCCCAAGUUAUUCCACCAUUGAAUUCCUCACAGGUUCUCUAAAGAUUAUUCCUUUCUUAAUCCUCAAACAAAGCUAAAACAAAUUGAACAUGCACCAAUCUAAUUCAACUGAAACUCACCAAUAAAGAAUGCGUCUACUAAUUUAAUCAAUACCCACUUUGUUCCAUGCUUAUACUCCAUGGGAAUGCUUAUUUCCUCUCUCUUGAAUCAAGCGCCCAAGAAAUUAAUUAGAACAACGCGAACUAACUAAGAAACCAAAGUUUAAGGUAAGGAAGACUCUCAAUCAUGCGUUCAAGUACAACCUCUCACAAAAACCAGUUUUCCAGGAGAUUAGACUAUUAAAACAAUUGCUAUAGAGAAUUUAAAAAAAUGAAACUUUUAUUAACCAAAACCUCAUAACUCAAUGGGGAAUUACAAGGUAAUCAACCAAAAUGGUUUAGCCUUUCAUGCGGAAGCAAAACAAAAGUAUUAUUAAGAAGAAAAGAAAACUAGGUCUAGAAUGUGUUUGCUCCUCUAAAAUGCGAUCCAAAAAGCCCUUUCUUCCUUCCCUUGAAGUCUCUUUUAUAAUCUUUUUUUCCUUGCACCAAAUCAGAUUAAAAUCUGCCUUAUGAUAUUGUUUUACAAUUAUCAAAUGUUUUCUUUCCUGUUUCAAAUUAUUAAACAUAUAUCUUCAUUCCCAAAUAGUCUCAUAUUUUAUUCUUGUUUUUCUCCCAAAAAUAUUAUUUCCAAUUUUCUUCAAAUUUAUGCAUUGAUUGUAAUUGAUUCCAACAUUGAUGUGAGAGAUAUUGCAGAAUAUUUUCUCGAAUAAUAUCUUCAAAGUAUAUUUUCUCUAUUUUUGAAGGAUUUUGCGGAGGAAUUUUAAUUGUAGAAGUUGUAGAGAAUAUCCUGGCAGAAAUUUGCAUUCAAUUCCUUUUCUCAAAUAUUUGCAUAUUUAAUUCUCUAAUUCUUUAUAUCAGAUAUUCUUUCCUGUUUUGAUCCAAAAGAAGUAACUUAGGUUAAAUAUACAAAAUUAACAGAAAUAAUAAUAAAGGACCAAAUAAACUCAAUUAUAUGAAUCUGAAUUAAAACAAUGAAUUUAUUUAUUAUUAUAGUCCAAUAAUCUAUGAUUAACGAGUAACAUCUAACGUCUAUAAAUGAUGAAGUUUUCGUUUCCUGCAAACAAAGAAAUUCAGCACCCUCCUUUGACACAAUAUAGUUCAGAUACCGUGCUUUCACCCCCUCCCAAACCUCUAAUGUUGAGGUUGACAAUUAUCAUGGUAACUCCUUUAAUCUUCCCACCCGAGACCCCUUUUUGACAUCAUUGUCCCUUACCUCCAUACAGUCCAAUUCUCCAACCACGUUCCCCUCUUCCCCUAAACAUUGCACACCUAGGUUUUGACCCAAAUCCCAUAUUCAACAACCUUUUCUUCAUUCUUAAGCUGAUUAUUACACAGGUUAAUGUUGGUAGACGAUUCUGCGAAGGAGCAAUGACUUAACAUGGAAGAAGAGUUUACCCCUUGGUGAAGGGAUCCAACACCCCCAUUUGAUCUCCAUUUCGGUUGAGCGAUUGGCAAAACGUGAUCCCGCAGCCUACGAAUUUCCGAUGAGGUUUUACUGGCCAUUUCCAUCCGAACUGAUACCUUCGGCGCAUCGAUUGACCCUUCUGCAUUCACCUCCUUACUCCGCCUAGAUUUUUCAUUGGAUUGUGGGUCUGAACUACCCGACAAUGAGCCCUCUUCCUUGCUACAUUGAUGAAUUGCACAACAUGGGUACACACCGGAGUCGGACUCUAGCGGCUUCCUCGCUCUUAGGUGCUCACUAUAACCAACCUCCCUCGAUCGUAUGUUGGUUAAUGGGGAGGACGACAUGGCUACGAACUGUUCUGUUGCACAACGUUGUUCAACUGCUUUCCCAUUACUUCCCGUGAUUGGGCCCCCCGCACUUGCUUCUUUACUAAACGCACCUCUCUUUUCUACUUGGGUUGCACCUUGCUUAGGCCCAAUAGAAAUGGAAUUACACACCUGAACCCCUUCCAUUAGGUUAAACAGUGAUUGUUGGAUCACCUUACAUGCAUCUUUGACUUGGUUUGCAACAAAUAAAGUUUCCCCUCCUUCAGACACACCUUGCACAUGUUUUACCUCAUUUGUGAAAGAAAAAUCACCUUUAAUCUGACACCCCUUAUCACUUUGAGCCCUUUCCUCCAAAAGCUCCCAUUUUGUCUCAACCAAGGGUUGGAUCUGCUCUUCCACCUCGGGUACCGCGUUUCGCCGCAAACCACCGUGAUUGUAGUCAUCUCCUUCCUCGAUUGACCUCCCAGAGAAGAAGGUUUCCUCCACUACAGUUUCUGAUGAUGAAAUACUAUCAGACGAAGCAAAGUGAUCUUGAAUGCAUGUACAUUCUCCUCUCUCUUGGUUGAAUACCUCCUCUACAAUGGUUACGUUAUAAACUUUUCCAUUUAUCCUAAGACUCUUCAUCAUUUCCGCUUUACAAGAUUUAAGCAACCGCACUUGCAGACGAGCAUACUCCAGAUUUUCCCACGACAGGGUUGAUUCAUCAACUUCUACCAAGGAUGCUACUUCUCUAACCACUUUCGAAAAACAAUCUUUAUUCCAUAAUGGUAGUGGUAGUCCAUGACACCUAACCCAGACAGUUUUAUAGCCUGCAACAUAUGAUUCGGUCCAAGGUUCAAUAGUUUCUAACAGAGAACCAAACCAUUCAUUAUUGAGCUUAAUGAUUUCUUCCAAUCGUUCUCCAUAGUUUGGUGUUAAGAGGACUAGGUUAUCUCCCAUAUAUCUCAGUUUGACCCUGCUCAUACCCCCUUUAACAAACUCUUCCCUCAAGGUUUUAAAGGAGACUUCCGGGGACAUCCUUCCAACUGCAUUGAUUACCAGCCAAGACGGGGUGUUUGACGUUGUUUCGAUGAUAGGGCCUUUCCAUAGAUCCUGGGAUGAUUUAUGAACCGCUUCAGCAUAAGAGAGUUUAGGUUGCAGGUUAUUGCCCCUUCGGUUAGAUCUACUAGAGUUUUCACGCCAUACCACCUUGUCCUUCAGUUUCAUCUUACCCCGCAGGCUGCUAGCACGACUAUAUUAAUUUCAAACAGAUUUUGUCUUCUCAUACUUCUUUUCAUCCUCUGCUCUCCUAUAUUUUGGGAGGUUGACAUGUAGUUUGAGACUACCAAUAUAAAUCUGGUCUAACUACUUCUCCAGUCUAACUUCAUUUGAAAUAGGAAAAACUCUGACAAAUCCAAACCUCCUUCCCCACCUAUUCAGACGCCUGGAAAUGAAAACUUCUUUCACUCUGGCCCAUGUUUGGAAUAUCCUAAACAUAUCGUACUCUCCAUGAAUGUCUGGAAAAUUUGAAAGGAAAAACGUAGAGGAGUGUUCUACCCAUGAAUUCUUUGUCGGUGUAGCUACCUUAUUAUUUGCCUCUCUGCUCCGAAGUUCUUCUUCCCUCUUCCAUCUCCAUCGUCCCUCCUUAACCCUAUCUUUCUCUUGCCAUUUCAGUAACGCCAUCGUCGAAUGAAAAUUAUUUAUAUUUUAAAUAUACAUAUGAGUCCUUCAAUUUUGACAGAAUAUUUAUUUGAUUGAGAUGUGAAUAAAUAUCUAACUUCUUUUUAAAUUUGGUAUAUAACUUAUUAAUAUAGAUAGAUAAAAGUAUAAUUUGUCAAAAAAAUAAUAAAAUUCAAAAUUCUAUACACUUCAAGUAAAAAAAUGGGAUGUGUAUAUCUUUUUAUAUCAGUAUUGUAUAAUGAAACUAAAAUUUAUCUUAUAUUUGUAAAUCUUAAUUAUAUGUAAAUGUUUAAAGGUGUUUAAAAAUGAGGAGUGUUUAAAAAGAGUGUUGAUGUGUCAAAUUUUAUAGACGACGUUUAAUGCAUGCUUGGAUAUUUCUCUUUUUGUUUCCUAGGUUUCGUAUGAAUGAGUUCUUUCUUUCACUUUCUGCAUGAACAAACAAGCAAUUAACCAUUUUUUCUUUUUCUUCUUUUUCAUCUAUUUCAAGGACAAAAUGUUUAUAUUAGUCUAUAACAAUCUUUUAAAGUUUGAUGAAGUAAAAACUUUGUACAUGCAACUCAACUUGUGAUCUAUAAGCCAAUUUAUAGUUGAAGUUACUCUAUUUAUUAUUGAUUUAGUUUAAGUGUAUUUAUAUUUGCUUACUGUACCGACCAGUCCUCGGGCAUCGUUGACCACUGGUGAUAUUGUGGCCACGUAAGCGGGGUCCUACGAGCAACGUAGGCCAAUAUCUCGCGAAGCACGUGCAACAAGGAACCAAAGAUGGUCAGCCAUCGGUCACCAGGAUGUACUGACGUGCCGCUAGACAGUGUGGAGAGGUCAGACAUCGAGAUCCGAACAGCAGAGCUGGGCUACGAGAGGUGGAUCCCAAACCCCACACCAAUUAUCAGUAAGGGAAGAGCCUAGGUCACGAGAGUCCAUGCGUGUGGAGUGGAUGAUGCGUUCAGGCGUAACACGAGUAUAAAGUCACUGGAAAGGAUACGACCUUCAAGGUCCAUGUUCCAGGGACGAGCUACAUGCAUGGCACGUGACAGCUAGGGCGCUCCUAAGGCGGGUGACCCCAGAGAUCAGGUGCACGAAGAGGCAUCCAGGUGGUCACCCCAUCAGAGGUUGCACUCCAGUUAGGGAAUCCACGCGCUAGGUUAUCCUAAGAGUAGGUAACGACAGUGCUGGGCCCACCCCCUCAGAAAGCCCAUUUUGGGUAAAUAGGAAACCCUAGUUUCAGUUUAUAUAAAGGAAAGCAACAAACUUAGCAAGGUACACUAUUUUUAUGCGUGAGAGUGACGUAGACGCACAAAGGCAUAUUUAGUCAACUGCCAGAACACUUACUGCAUUCAAUUUUUCUCACUUAGUUUAUUUUGAACUAGACAUGAAUGAGUAAAGAAUCUUCAAUCCCUUUCAUGUCAAACCUUUUCUUUACAAUUAAAUAGAUUGAUAGAGUGGAAAGUUGGUUCACCUCUUCUUAUAGAUAAAUCAAAUACUCCAACAAAUUAGGAGUUUAGCUACUUUGUGAAAAAAAUUAUAAACUUAACUUAUAUUAUAAAAAUAUUGUUGUUAUUAUUUGUCUAUAAUAUUAAAUAUUAUUAAAUAUUUUUUUUUAAAUUGUAAGAAUAUAUUUAUUAAAAGUAAUUAUAAAAUAAAUAAUUUUUUUAAUUUUAUUGUAGAUAAUUUUUAUUGUGAGUAGUUAUUUAAAUUUAAAAAAAAGAUUAUUUAAAGAAUAAAAUUAUAUAAACAAAAGAUAUGUAUAUGUUGUUAUAUUGUUAUAGAAUAUGUUUUAUUAUUCUUUUGUUUAUAUCAGAACGUAAUUUCCGAUGGACCUCUAUUAUAUUCUCAUUCAUCUUUCAUUGAAUUUGGAACUCAUCUUUUAUUGUAUUCACACCUUAUAAUUUAUUUACACACAUUUAAAUAAUAAUAUAAGUUGAUGAUAUUUCUUUUAUGUUCCUUGACUUUUUCUUCAAAUAAUAGAUAUUCGAGUACCAUAUACAGAACACAAAUCACCAUUACAUAUUAGUUUGACUUUUUAGACAGUAUAAACUAGCCAGUCUAGUUUAUAAAAUUGAUGUCACUAUCAGUCCUGCAUCUUUCUAAGUUGUUUCAUACCUAGUCCUACUAAUCCAAAAAAAGAAAAAUAGAUGUAUACUUGCAACCACUUAUUGAUGACCUCCAACAAUUAUGGAGUGAGGGUGUCUUCACUUAUGACAUGUCAACAAAAGAGAACUUCAUCAUGCGAGCUUGUUUGAUGUGGACAAUGAUUUUUCAGCAUAUGCGAUGUUGUCUGGGUGGGGGACCAAAGGGAAAUUAGUUUGUCCUCAUUGUAUGGAGGACACAAAAGCAUUCAUACUAAAAACAUGAAAGUAUAGGAGUUGUUGGUUUGACUGUCAUCGACGAUUUUUGCCACCCAAUCAUCUUUUCAGGAGGAGUAAGAGGAGAUUCAUAAAAAACAGAGAUAAAAUGGAUGUCCUACCUUAUUUCUUAAACAUAAAUCAAUUAUCAAAGUUUAUUCCUGACUUUCUAAAAUUGACAGAUGGUCCAUUUGACACUUUGCCUGGGUAUGAAGAAUAUCAUAAUUGGAACAAAAGAGCAAUAUUUUGGGAUUUGGCAUAUUGGAAGGACAAUUUGUUAAGACACAACCUUGAUGUUAUGCACAUAGAAUUUUUUUUUUUAUAAUGUCUUCAACACUGUAAUGGACAUUAAGGGUAAAACAAAGGACAAAUAAAAGGUCGAAAUGGAUGUUGCUGAAUUGUGUGGCUGUGGAGACGUGAAGUUGGUUCAAUUACAAAAUGGAAAGUUAGCAAAGUCAAAGACCAACUACACAUUCUCAAAUAAAGAUGUUAAGUCAAUUUAUAAAUGGAUUAGUGAGUUGAAGAUGCCAGAUGAUUAUGCCUCUAACAUUGCAAGGUGUGAAAACCAAGACAAGGGAAAUAUGCAUGACAUGGAAAGUCGUGAAUAUCACGUUUCAUGGAGUGCCCUUGUUGGCUUAAGUCGAUUCUUUAAAGACAUAUGUUCUAAUACAUUGAGGAUGAAUAAUCUUGUCAAAAUGGAAUAAAACAUACCAAUCAUCGUAUGUAAGUUAGAAAGAAUAUUUCCACCAACUUUCUUUGAUUCAAUGGAACACUAUGUCAUUCAUCAUCCUAUGGAAGAAACACUUGGUUGUCCUAUCCAGUACCAAUAGAUGUAUCCUUUUGAAAGGUAUACAUUAUCUUAAUUAUUUCAAUGUUUAACAAGGUGUGCAGAACAUAUCUGCUUUACUUUAAGAUGAUGGGAAAUGCAAAGAGAUCGGUGGGUAAUUUGGCACGGGUAGAUCGAUCUAUAUGUGCAUUCUACCUACACCGAGAGAUAACAUAUUUAUGCUCUCAUUAUUUCACAAUGUCUCAGCUUGUUGUCAAAUAAAAGUUUGAGAAAUUAUCCUUAAACAAAUUCAAAUGAGGAAGUCCAAUACACAAUGUCAGUUUUGAAUAAAUAUGGACGUUUAAGUGGUUCUAACAAAAACUAUUGGUUCAGUGAUAAAGAACACGUUCUUCCCAUAUUCAUAUUCUCAUCAAUUGCAAUGAGGUCAAAGUCUUCCUUGAGUAAGUUUAAGUGUACAUAAUUUGAAUUAAAUUAUUGUAGGUUGUGUAGUUUGUUAGCUACUUUAAUAAUAUUUAAAGUUUGUUCUUACAAUUUGAUCAAUCAAUGACAAAGACGCUUCAAGUUUGAUCAAGUAACAUUUUAAUGAAAUAGUCUAAACACUAUUCAGUUGUGCGCCAAUUGGCUCUAGCACCCAAAAGCCUUAUGGCUAUCGAUAAUUUAGACUCAGUUGCUCCAUCAUAAAUGGAUUGAUUUGCAAAUAUUGACAUAUCAUAAAACUUUUGCGCUUUUGCAUUAGCUUGUUGUUCUUCAUUUUCGAUAUGAUUGUCCAAGUUCUUAUAACGACUUCUUAUAUCAAUUUCUUACAUGUAUGCAUUGUUCACCAUUUCUAUUAAUGAUCCCGAAGUCAUCAUUAUGCCUGAUGUUAUCAUAACUGGUGGAUGCAAUGUUUAAAUUAAGAAUUAAUUACCUUAUUCAUCCCUACAUUUAGGGUCAAUAUUCAAUUUAGUACAGUGGUUUUUUAAAAAAUCAAUUUGGUUCCUAUGUUUUUUAAAAUGUAUCCAAAUUGGUCCUUUCCGUUAAGUCCAAACUUAUGGCGUCAAGUGAUACUUAUGUGACAGAGAGGGGUGUUUAAGUGGCAGAGAGAGGUAUUUAUGCCUUAGUUGUGUUCCCAUCCACGUGGCAAUCAUGAGGUCUAAAUAAUUUUAUUGUAAUAAUGUAUUAAUAAUUUAAUUAAAAGAUAAGAAAAUACAAUUAAUCUAAUGAAUCGUGAAAGGUUUACUUAUUUAUGAUGAAUUGUCAAUAAUUAAUGUUUUUUCUCAUUUAUUAUCCAUUCAUAUUAUGAGGAAACAAUCGGUUGUUUUUUUGCAGCUUUUAGACAGAUUGAGUUUUUCAAGUAUUAACAGAGAAUGAUUCAAAAACAGAUGUAAUUAUUCAGAGAAAGAGUUUUUAAGCAUGAAAUAGUAAUUAACAAAUCAAAGGCAGAGUUAAGAAAGGUCUUAUCCUUUUAUGAGGUCCCUUCUAUGAGUAAUUUGUUUGUGAUCAAGAAGCUUCUUUUGACUUUUGAAAAGACUUGGACUGGUACAUAACAUUGAUUCAGUUCCAGUGUUAAUCUCUUCCUUCCAAGAACAUGAUCAGAUGACUAUAGCCUCAUUUUCUUCUAGAUUCCCUGCAUAAACACGAAUUCAAGCAACAAGGUUUGGUCCCCUUACAAAUGUGAGUCCAUUUGAUUUAUUUUUAUCAUUUGAAACCUCACAACCUUUGGGAAUCCAUUUCAUAAAACCUCUGGGAACAGAAUAUUUCCUUAUUUUGCAUAAUCAGACAGAAUGGCCUUUCUUCAUGCAAUAAAAGCAUGUAACAAUCGGUUGUUUCGACUUAACAAUCGGUUGUUUUACUGGCAGUUUUGAAAAAUUCUUUGAAAAGUUAUCUUGCUUGUUCUGUGGAUUAAAACCUAAUCCAGCUCUUCCAAAAACACAAUUUUGAGAUGUCAAGACAUUCUCAAAGUUGGAUUUUCCUUUUGAAAGCUUAUCCACAGUACUAACAAGAUAGUGUACUUUCUUUUCAAGAUUUUCACAAUUUUCACAAAUGAGAGUGUCACACUUGCAAGAAGAGUUUUUGCAAUGAUUAUCCAGAUUUUCAAAAUCACUUUUUGAUUUUUCCAGCUUUUCUUCAAGUGCCUUAACUCUAUUUUCAAGCCAGUUGUUAAGCCCUUUCAAACGAUUGUUUGAGAGAACCAAUCGGUUAGCUUCUUCAUGUGUUUCUUGAAAAGCUUCAAGCAAUUUACUAUAAUUUUCAACAUUUAGGGAAGCACAUGAACUUACAUCACUUGAGCUACAUGAUUCAUCAUCUCCUUCUACAAUCAAGCAUAUGUUUGCUUUUUCUUCUUCACUUGAUGAUGAGCUUGAUGAGGAGACUUCAUUCUCAUUCCAAGCUAUGUAUGCUCUUCUUGACUUUCCCUUUUUCUCCUUGUGGCUUGAUUUCUUUUCAUUGCUUUCUUUGUUUUGGCAAUCUGCUUUAAUGUGCCCUUGUUCACCACAACCAAAGCAAGUAUAGUUGUUAGAAUUGAAAUCACUAGUUUUCUUAUUGCCAUACCUUUCUUUGUUGGCUUCUUUGUUGCGAUUUCUCUUCAAAAAUCUACUAAACUUCUUGGACAACAAACUAAGGUUUUCUUCUUCACUUUCAUCACUUGAUUCUUGCCUGCUUUUGUUCUUGGCAGCUUUCAAGGCAAUGCUUCUCACAUGCUUGUAUUCACUUUCUUGAACAUUGAGUCUAUUCAUUUCUAACUCAUGUUCUCUAAGCUUACCAAAUAAAGAAGCCGUUGUCAAGGAUGUUAAAUCUUUUGACUCAAAAGUUGUUGUCACCUUUGUUUGCCAUGAUCUAUCAAGACACUUAAGGAUCUUGAUGUUUAUCUCUUCUUUAUCAAAGGUUUUCCCAAGGCUCAAAAGGUGGUUGAUGAUGUGGGUGAACCUUUUUUGUACUUCAGCAAUUGACUCACCUUUAAGCAUUCUAAACAUUUCAUAUUCCUGAAUUAGAGUAAGCUUUCUAGCUCUCUUCACAUCAUUGGUUCCUUCAUGAGUCACCUCCAAAGUGUCCCACAUCUCCUUGGCCGAAGAGCAUUGAGAAAUCCUGAAAAAGUCAUCCAAAUUCAAGGCAGAUGUUCUGAUGUUCUUAGCGAUACAAUCAAAUUUGGCCUUCUUGUUUUCAGAAUCAGUCCAUUGAGACCAAGGUUUUUCAAUGGAAGAUCCAUCUUUUUCAAAUUUUGGAAUAAAAGGACCAUUUUCAAUUGCAUCCCAAAUUCCUUUGUCAAGGGAUUCAACAAAGAUUUUCAUCCUAACUUUCCAGAAUUGGUAAUUCAAACCACAGAAAAGAGGUGGUCUGUUGAUUGAUGCACCCUCUCCAAAAGGUAGUUUUUCAGCCAUUGGAAAAAGGUUUUAGGAUCAAACUUGAGUAUUUUUCAAGUACCAAGCUCUUGAUGCCUAUUGUUAGAAUGAAUGGCUUUAAACUAGAGGGGGGGUGAAUGGUUUAAAGAGGUUUUUCGCAAACUUUUUAAGAUAGAAUGAAAUUCUUUGCAAGAAACCAGAUUUAGGAAUUCAGUUUACCAAGAACAAAGCUCAAAACAGAAAAACAAUCAGUUAUUUCGCAGAAACAAUCAGAUGUUUAUACCAGUAAUAUAACAGCAACUGAAAUUAAAGAGUUUAAGGAAAAGAGAAUUGCACAAACAGUUUAUACUAGUUCACUCUUAACCCAAGAGCUACAUCCAGUUUCCCAGAAACCACUAGGGAAUCCACUAGGUAAUCAAAACCAUAUUACAUACACACACCACCAAAGAAGUGACCUUGAUCCCCUCAAGACACACACUUCCUUUGGCUCAGCACAUACACCACCAAGAAUGUUGAUCUUGACAACCUUAAGAGCACACAACCCUUCUUGGCUUUACAACACCAGAAUGUACACAAAUCACAGAAUGAAUUACACUGUUACAGAAUCAAGUGAAAUCAAUACAGAGUAAUCCUAUUCCACUUCUCUCUUGAAUAACCAAAGCUCAAGUUCAAACUCAAAUGCUUCAAAAAAAUCUUUGAAAAACUCAAAUCUGUUUUUCUUUCUUGUUAUUUGUUAUAAAACAUUAACAAACUAUUUAUAGUAUUCAAAUCUUGGUCAAAGCAUUUAAAGCAUGAGCAUAUUCAGUUAUGAAAUCAAUUAAAGCUCUUUUAACAAACAAAAUUGUUUCUGUUAGGAUUCCAAACAAACAAUCGGUCCAAAUAAACUCCCUGUUCUCCUCUUUCUCUCACUCCCUCUCCCUCUCCUCCUCCACAACCUCCUCAUCCUCCCUCAGCAUCUCUCUCGCCACCUUCAAUACCUCAGCCACCUCCCCACUUUUCACCCCCUUCCUUGCCUCCCUCCUCACUUCGUCUAACCUCCUCCACUCCUCCGCCACCUCCCGCAUCGCCUCCUCCGUCGGGCCCUCCAGCCGCUCCAGCACACCAUCUUCUUGAUCACGGUAACCAUAAUAACUCGCAUCAAUUCGCUUAUAAAUGUCAUACCGUGUGUGCAACUUGCGGAGCUUUGGGGCUUCUCGGAAAGCUCCUUUACCAGAAGCUUCUUCACUACGCCGAAGUAGCGGUAGUUAGGGCCACGGUCGCCUAGGUUGGGGUGUAAGAAAUUAUGUAAAUUAAUUUCUAUAAAGUGAGUCACAUGACUUUGAGUUUGGGUUGUGGGUCCAAAUAUAAUUUAAUAAUAAUAAUAGAAUUAAAGGGCCCACUGGUUAACAUGAGAAAUAUAUAUCUGAUGAUACCUAAUGAAAACCUACAUUUGAUGCAAAUAAUAAUUGUCUCACUGUUAACCAUCACGAAAGUGUGUGACAAGAAAGGAAUUUCUAAGAGAUAGAUUGGGACAAAGGGAGAUAAAGUAAUUGCUCAAGUAGGAUCACUCAUGGAUCAAGGUAAAUGCCUAUUCCUUCUUGAUUGUAUGGAUAUAUGUGAGAAUCAUGAUAUGAUAAGAUCUAUAUGUGAACAUUAUUGUAUGUGUUCAAUUGUACGUUUAUUCAUGUUUUAAUUUACAUGUGGUAUCAAAGCCUGGUUGCUCAUUUUGUGAUUCUCCAUUAAUGUUUUUCCAUAAUUUUAAGAACCCUAAUUUUGUUCCCAAUUUAAUUAAUCCCAAUUGAAGAACCCUAAUUUUAAAAUUAGGGUUUAUGGAUUAAAGUUUCCAUUCCUCAAUAACAGAACCUAAUCUGCACCUAACGCAUUAACGGCGUUUACACCCUGUACCCGAACCCAUUAUCGGAGUCGCUGUCAGCGCAAAACCGCAAGACACCGUCGCUCGUGGAACCUCUCUCAUUGUCGGCGCGCACCUCUCCGUCACCACCCAUAUUUGCAGCCGACAACGUAGGUGGUCACGACCUGGUUGUCAUCAAGGAACAGAGUGGUUCGUGCGGUGAUCGUGGAUCUGUAAGGAUUGAGUUGAGCCCAGGGUGCGUUGAACGUGGCUUAGGGCGCGGCGACAUUGGAGUUGAAGUCUGGUGCGGCGCGGUGGUUCGCGCGAUUUUUCGCACAGUGGCCGGCGUGAUGGUUCGUGGCUAGAGGCGCGGUGGUGGUCUCCCUGAACGGCCUGGUGCGGCGUUGGGGUUGAAGAGGGAAAGUGAACCCUUUACGCUAAUGCAGAAACAUAUGCUUUUGGUUGCAUGAUUGUCUUCCAAAAGAAUGGUUCUAGGUUUGCAAUACAGUGAAUGAUGGUGCGCUUGGCUCAUGCAUGUAUGAAUUAAUUCGCCACACCUUAUGUCAUCAGUUUUUUUUUUUUUUUUUUUGGAAGUAUCAGCCUUGGCGUGGAUGAUGCAAUAUAAUAUAAUUAAAUCCAUGUAUGAAUUAUCUUCACCUUACGUUAUUAAUUCCCUCAACUUUACGUUAUCAAUUUUAUUAAUGUUUUUAAAGUCCUUUCCAAAUUUUAUUAUAUUAUAAUAUAAAAUAAUGAAAUGCAUUUAUGAAAAGAAUUCAAUUAAUGAAACACAUGAAUUCAUUCAUGCACUUUACGUCAUUUAUUUUAUUAAUGAUUUUAUCAAAUUUUAAUUAAAGUUUUAUUAUGUUAUAAUGUAAUUUAAUUUGCAUUAUAUUAAAGUUUAAUUAAUUGAUUGAAAGUCAGGAAUGAAAAAUUAUUUUUCCGCUUUAUGCAUUCAAUUUUGAAUUGAAAUUUUGGAAUUAUUUGUAUGAUAGAUUUGUAAUCACCAAAGUGAUCAAAUCUUUAUGUUUUUUUUAAUUCCAAAUUAUGGAUGAAUUUUAUUCCAGUUAAUGAUAUAAUUUCUGAAAUUAUUUGUAUGAUAGAUUUGUUAAUCACCGAAGUGAUCAAAUCUUUAAGUUUUAUUUAAUUUCAAAUUACUAAUAAAUUUUAUUUCAAUUACCUAUAGAAUGGAUGCUAAAUUAUUUAAAUAUGGAUAAAUGGAAAUUCAUUAUUAUAAGACAUCUUUUGAUCACCUAAAGGUUGAUUAGUUGUCCUUAUAAUUAAUGAAUAUGAUUGUUGGUAGUGAGUAUGUGUUAUUAGUUUUGCUUGUAUAUCCAAAGAUAACAAGUGUUUCUAGUUAAUGCAUAUAUCUUGCCAAAUAAAGUUAAUACUAUUAGCAUCAUUAUAUUUUGUGUAUUAAUGAAUCUCCCAAAGGAGAACAUUAGUAUACAUAGAAUGUUUUCUGAAUCUGUAUUGUAUGUUUAGUUUAUGACUCGAAGUAUUAAUGUUAAGCAUGUGUGAUUGCAGUAUCUGUUCAUGUAGCCUUACAUUCGCAAGCUAUGUUUGUUCCAAUCUUUAAUGGUCUAAAUUUUUCUCACUGGAGUGAAAAAGUUCAAUUUCACUUAGGUGUAUUGGAUCUUGAUUUGGCCAUUCGAAUCGAGAAACCUGCUGCUAUUUCUGAUGAUAGUAGAAAUGAGGAGAAAGCUCAUUAUAGGGCUUGGAAAAAGUCAAAUAGACUUAGCCUGAUGUUUAUGUGAAUGAGCAUAGCAAACAAUAUUAAGUCUGCUCUUCCCAAAACUGAGAAUGCAAAAGAGUUUAUGAAAUUUGUGGAAAAGCGCUCCGAAAAAGAUGAUAAGUCUCUUGCAGAGACAUUAAUGAGUACAUCAACCACCAUGAAUGCUUAUUAUGUAUGUUUUGAAUCAAACUUAAUUAAAGUUCCACAUAAUUCUUGGUGGAUUGAUUCUGGAUGCACAACUCAUGUUUCUAACAUGAUGCAAUGAUUCCUUUCAACCCGAACCAUAAAGCCAAAUGAAAAGUUUGUCUUCAUGGGAAAUAGAGAGAAGGUUCUAGUGGAAGUAGUCGAGACUUAUCGUUUAAUCCUCGACACAGAAUUUUAUUUAGACUUGAUGGAUACUUUUUAUGUACCUAGUAUAUCUAGGAAUUUAGUUUCAUUGUCUAAACUUGAUGUUGUCAGAUACUCUUUUAAAUUUGGGAAUGGAUGUUUCAGUAUAUAUCAGCGUACCUAUUUGAUUGGAUCGAGUACUCUUUAUGAUGGAUUAUAUAGAUUGAAUCUUGAUAAUUUAUAUGUUUUUUUGUGGCACAAACGUUUGGGACAUAUUUCCAAAGAAUGGAUGGAAAGAUUAGUAAAGAAUGAAAUACUUCCAAGUUUGGAUUUUACUGAUCUGAAUGUAUGUGUGGAUUGCAUUAAAGGCAAACAAACAAAACACACAAAUAAGGGAGUCACAAGAAGUACUCAGCUUCUUGAAAUUAUACACACUAAUAUAUGUGGACCUUUUGAUGUAAAUUCUUUCAAUAAAGAAAGGUAUUUUAUCACCUUUAUUGAUGAUUUUUCACGUUAUGGUUAUGUUUAUUCACUACAUGAAAAAUAUCAAGCAGUGAAUGCCUUGGAAGUUUAUGUAAAUGAAGUGGAAAGGCAAUUAGACAGAAAGGUGAAAAUUGCCAGGUCAGAUAGAGGUGGUGAAUAUUACAGAAAGUAUGAUGGAAGUGAACAACAUCCUGGUCUGUUUGCUAAGUUCCUUGAGAGACGUGGUAUUUGUGCUCAAUACACAAUGUCAGGUACACCAAAACAAAAUGGUGUUUCAGAAAGGCGUAAUCAAACCUUAAUGGAUAUGGUUAGGAGCAUGUUAAGUAAGUCAACUGUAUUUGUUUCAUUGUGGAUGUAUGCUUUAAAAACUGCCAUGUAUCUGUUGAACAGGGUUCCUAGUAAGGCAGUUCAAAAUACACCUUUUGAAUUGUGGACAUGAAGGAAACCCAGUUUGAGACACCAGUAUGUUUGGGGAUGUCAGGUAGAAGUUAUAAUAUACAACCCACAAGAAAAGGAAUUGGAUGCAAGAAUAAUCAGUGGAUACUUCAUUGGUUAUCCAGCAAAGCCAAAAGGGUAUAUGUUUUACUGUCCUACCCAUAGCAAAAGAAUUGUAGAAUCUGUAAAUGCACGGUUCAUUGAAAAUGGUGAAACCAGUGGGAGUGAUACUUCACGAAAUGUGGAGAUUAAGGAAGUCAGAGUACAAGUUCCUUUGACUAGUACUUCAACUUCAAGUAUUGUUGUUCCUAAUGUAGUUGAACCACUCAACGAUGAUGAAGAACAACAAAUUAAUGAUCACGAGGUUAACAAUGAACCUGUAGUAGAACAACCACAAGAAAUAGAAUUAAAAAGAUCUCAAAGAGAAAGAAGGUCAUCUAUUUCGAAUGAUUAUGUGGUUUAUCUAAAAGGGUCAGAAAAUGACUCAAGUAUUGAUAAUGAUCCAAUUUCAUUUUCAGACGCCAUCAAUGAUGAUAAUUCUUAUAAGUGGUUAGAUGCCAUGAAAGAUGAGCUUAAAUCAAUGACACAAAAUGAUGUAUGGGACCUUAUAGAAUUAUAAAUGGGUGUAAAUGGGUCUUUAAGACUAAGUGUGACUUUCGUGGCAAUAUCGAACGUUACAAGGCCCGACUUGUUGCUAAAGGUUUUACUCAAAAGGAUGACAUUGAUUAUAAGGAAACAUUUUCACUUGUUUCUAAGAAAGAUUCCUUUAGAAUUAUCAUGACGUUAGUAGCUCAUUAUGAUCUUGAGUUGCAUUAGAUGGAUGUCAAAACUACCUUUUUGAAUGGGGAUUUAGAAAAGGAUGUUUAUCUGGACCAACUAGUGAGGUUUAUUGAAGAAGGAAAGGAACACAUGGUGUGUAAACUUAAGAAAUCAAUAUACAGGCUUAAACAUGCUUCUAGACAAUGGUAUCUUAAGUUCAAUGAUACUAUUGUGUCCUUUGGAUUUAAGGAAAACAUCGUUGAUCGGUGUAUGUAUCUGAAGGUCAGUGGGAUUAUAUUCCUGAUUUUGUAUGUUGAUGAUAUCUUGCUUGCAACUAAUGAUCUUGGUCUAUUAAGUGAGACUAAGAAGUUUCUCUCUAAUAACUUUGAGAUGAAAGAUAUGGGUGAGGCAUACUAUGUGAUAGGAAUAGAAAUAUUUCGUGAUAAAUCAUAAGGACUGUUAGGUUUGUCUCAGAAAGCAUAUAUUAAUAAAGUUUUAGAGAGAUUCAGAAUGGAUAAAUGUUCAACAUCUCCUUUUCCAAUACAGAAAGGAGACAAAUUUAUUCUCAUGCAAUGUCCAAAGAAUGAUUUGGAACGGAAACAGAUGGAGAAUAUACCUUAUGCAUCUAUUGUUGGGAGUUUUGCUCAAACUUGUACACGACCAGAUAUUAGUUUUGCAGUUGGUAUGCUUGGUAGAUACUAGAGUAAUCCAGGAUGGGAUCAUUGGAAAGCUGCAAAGAAAAUUUUAAGAUACUUGCAAGGAACGAAGGAUCACAUGCUUACUUAUAAAAGAUCUUAUCAUCUUAAGGUGAUUGGAUAUACAAAUUCAGAUUUUGCUGGCUGUGUGGAUACACGAAAGUCUACAUUUGGUUAUGUGUAUCUUUUAGCCGGAGGAGCGAUUUCAUGGAAAAGUGCGAAGCAGAUAGUCAUUGUUGCAUCCACCAUGGAGGCUGAAUUUGUGUCAUGCUUUGAGGCCACAGUUUAGGCUAAUUGGUUGUGGAUUUUUGUUUCAGGACUUGGAAUUGUUGACAACAUUGCCAAGCCGCUGAGAAUUUAUUGUGAUAACUCCGCAGCCGUCUUCUUUUCUAAAAACAACAAGUAUUCCAAAGGUGCUAAACAUAUGGAAUUGAAAUACUUUGUCGUUAAAGAAGAAGUUCAAAAACAUAGAGUGUCAAUAGAACAUAUUAGCACUGAUCUUAUGAUUGCUGACCCUUUAACAAAAGGGUUACCGCCCAAAACAUUUACUGGUCAUGUUGUAAAUAUGGGCAUUAUGUCUACUAGUGAAUGAUGAAUGUUGUUAUUAACGCUUAUUUGACGCUCUGAGCUCAUUGAUAAAUAAAGUUUUUGAAAUUUAUGUUUUCUACUUUAUGUAUAUGCAUGUAAAUUAUGUUGUGGAAAACAAAUUAUGUUGUUAUUGAUGAAAAAUGACAUUAUAUUUGAACCUAUUAUGGAUUUCUCAUUAUAAAGUCAUAUUAAGGAGAAAUAAUGAUAUAGUAGUACAUGGAAGGAAAUGUGUUGAUUGAAAUGGCAUGUAACCACCAUGACUCUUAUUAUUUCUGUAUCCUUGAUUUUGAUUAAUGAUAGAACUAAUUUAUGUAAGGCCUUUUAAAUGCGCAUUUAUGCAAUUAUUAAAUCAUGAAAGUAUUAUAACUCAUAUGAGUCAAGUGGGAGAAUGUAAGAAAUUAUGUAAAUUAAUUUCUAUAAAGUGACUCACAUGACUUUGAGUUUGGAUUGUGGGCCCGAAUAUGAUUUAAUAAUGAUCCUGCCUGUUGACCGGAACGCUGGAAACUGCCUCGUCAAAGGAUCGACGUGCGCACCGCUUCAAGCCUCCGUUCCUCUUCGAGAUUCACCUCAAGAACCUGCAAAGAAACAGAGCGGCGCCGCUGCGGCCGAUCGCACUCCAACGCUCAAGUCAGUGACCGAAUCACCAAAUACUAAGAGAACAAGAACCGUGCAAAUCCUCUCUCACAGUAAGCUCUAUAACUCGCAAGCGUAAAGAAUGUAUUCUGAACGUGCGUACCUCAGAAAGUUCGUUGAGAACUCUUAUAUACCUGGUUACUUUCUCUCUCCUGGCAGUUACAGACUUGGACACGUGGCUCGCAUCCAACCGUACACGUGCCAUCAUCUGGAGCCUCCUUGACUUGGGCGCUGCUUCUGACUCUCUUUUUGGCUAAGUUAUUUAUGCAUGGUGCUGCCCAGUACAUAGCUAACUUGGGAGUGCGAUCUCUACUGGAACUGGCGAGUUAGGAUGCCCUCAUACACCUUCCCUGUGGUCUCGCCAGCCGCCUUCAUAAUCUGCACCACCUUCAUCUCUGGCGAUGUGCUUGCUCUGGCGAUCUCCAAUCACUAGGUCGCCUGAGUCUACAUCUGGCGACUUCAUCUUUAACCCGGUGAUCGCCGAUUCUGGUAUGCUGGAGAUCGGAACACGCCAACUUAACAAUUGGCGACUUCACGAGCCCCCCGACUUCCUUCCCUUCUGCCAACCUGGCACCUUGUCAACACGCCUAUACUGUAGCUUGAUGCCACGUCAUCACUUCCGACUACCAGGGCGGUACACAAGCCCCCCANNNNNNNNNNNNNNNNNNNNNNNNNNNNNNNNNNNNNNNNNNNNNNNNNNNNNNNNNNNNNNNNNNNNNNNNNNNNNNNNNNNNNNNNNNNNNNNNNNNNCAACACCGAUCUACGUGGCACUGACGCAGAAUCCCAAGCGGUUGUACCUUCUGCUGCUCUGACGCUCCACCAAACUCCUCGUCCAUCGCUCGACACGUGGCUUCAUCAACGGUUACCUUCAGUUACCGUUUGCGCUUCCCAAACCCAUUUCGAAAAAACCCUUAAACCCAUUUUCGCUCCACACUGUUCCAUCACUUUUCUUCGUAUCUUCAAACGCUCUCACCUUCUCCUGCAAAAACUCUCUUAGCGCUCUUCAACAUUCCAAAUCAUCAUCAACCUUCAUCGUCUUCCUGAUCAUCAAAAGGUACCUACUUUCCUUCUUCUGCUGGUUUUUCUUGCAUUUUAACCGAUUCGCAUCAUCCUGUAACUGCCUGGUGCAUACGCUGUGGGUUGCUUUUUCCAUUUCUCCUUCUACGUAACUUAGGGCUUCGUCAAUCAUCGCAACGAACCUACGUUCGUUCGUUUUUCACCUUUCUUCCAUGAUCGAGUCAGCCUCUGUAACCCNNNNNNNNNNNNNNNNNNNNNNNNNNNNNNNNNNNNNNNNNNNNNNNNNNNNNNNNNNNNNNNNNNNNNNNNNNNNNNNNNNNNNNNNNNNNNNNNNNNNCCUUUUCUUCUUCCUUUGCAGCUGCAACAAUGACUCGCACAAAGAUCACCCCGAAUCCUCCUCCUUCAUCACGAAACCCCCCUUCACAAGCACACGACCCACCACGAGUUCGUGGCGCUUCAUCCUCCCAGGCUGAGAGGCCUGCGUCUUCCUGCCCUAACCUGGCCCAGGCGACUCUACCUAUCGCCGGCGGAGCCCCCGUCCCCUUGCCGGACUUCAAAACCCUGUAUCCCUGGGCCAACUCGACCCUGUUGAAGGAAACGUCUUCCGUGAACACUGCUGGGGCAGUUUUGCGACUGACUAAGGGGGAUGAGCCCAACCAAACGUUUCAUAAGGAGCACGAUGAGAAAAUGAUAGUGCUGCCUUGCUCCCCCGAUCUGCCCGUUUGUGCUGAUGACAAGGUGAGUGCUGACGGACCCUUCUGCUUUGUUUACACAACACUAUUCAAGAAGGUGAAACUGAAGUUUCCCUUUACCCGAUUCGAGAGGGAACUCCUUACCGAGCUCAACAUUGCCACCGCCCAGCUUCACCCCAACAGUUGGGCGUUUGUUCGAGCAUUCCAAGUGAUGUGCGACCACCUGGGGUUGCCCGCAUCCGUAGACGUGUUUUUAUUUCUCUUCGAAGCCAAGCACCCGGGAGACCGCCUAUGGGUUAGCUUGAAUGGGAUUGCUGGGAGGUCCAUCUUUGCUAUCUUCCAGCAAUCCUAUAAAGAUUGGAAAGGGAAAUUCGUUCAAAUGCGCCCUAACGACAAGGACGCCUCCCUACUCGACGGCUUCCCCUUGUACUGGGUGGACAAGGGGAAGAAAGAGUCCAAGAGCUGCUUCAGGAGACCUAGAAGUCCUGACAGCAUGGGAGCGUUGGACCGAGAUCUCUGCCUUUUCUGGAAAAGGGUCGCGGAUGCCAACAUUACUUUCCUUACCACCACCCUAAUCUGCUUCGAAUUCUACGAGGACCAACUCGAAAUUCGAAUAGGUUAGAACAUUUAAACUGUUGUUUUAAUACUGCUUCUAUUUGACUGUUUCUGGGCGUCUUGUGCGUUAUGCGCAAGACUUUGGUUUUAUUUUUCCUGCACCAAUCAUCUGCUUUGCUGCAUACUGCCUUAUGCACUUAUCUUCUCCUUGAGUUAACCCAUGCAUGUUCGUCUCAUGCAGAUAACAUGUUGGGCAAGGGUAUGCUUGCGGAAUUGAGGGCGCUCGCCCGAACCCACGGGUUGGCGACGGGUUCUCAAACAGUACCCAACUCGGUGGUGGAGACAGCCAUCGUCCACGGGCGAUCGCGACCUAAGGAACCCGCCCAACGCAAGAAACUAGUCCUCAAGAGGCCCAAAAGGAAAGCUCCUCAAGUGAUCCACGAAGAGGAAGAGGAGGACGACGAGGCCACUGAAGACGGCCUUGUCACAAAGAGGAAGANNNNNNNNNNNNNNNNNNNNNNNNNNNNNNNNNNNNNNNNNNNNNNNNNNNNNNNNNNNNNNNNNNNNNNNNNNNNNNNNNNNNNNNNNNNNNNNNNNNNUCCUUGUGCUUCAGAGCAAGAGACCGGGUGGCUAGGUGUUCUCUUCGAACCUGCCUUAGCCACCCUCAGAACUUCUUCUUCCCUAUACACCAUACCUGAACUCGUUCGAGACGAGAAGGAUUUUAUCUUGCCUGAACUCGCUCAUAGGCGAGAAGGUCUUUAACUCGCCUGAACUCGCUCAUAGGCGAGAAGGUCUUUUACUCGCCUGAACUCGCUCAUAGGCGAGAAGGUCUUUGAAUCGUGCCUCUACAUUGCUCCAGGGGUUACAUCUUCUCGCCCCCAGAAACACGGAGGACUUUUUCUUGCCUCUACAUUGCCCCAGGGGCUACAUCUUCUCGCCCCCAGAAACACUGAGGACUUUUCACUGGUGCCUCUACAUUGCCCCAGGGGUUGCAUCUUCUCGCCCCCAGAAACACUGAGGACUUUUCACUGGUGCCUCUACAUUGCCCCAGGGGUUACAUCUUCUCGCCCCCAGAAACACUGAGGACUUUUCACUCUUUCUCACCUGCACUCGCUCGACGGCGAGGAGGUCUUUUACCUGCCUCGGAACGCGCGCGGGCGUUGAGGUCUUUUAACUGGUGCCUCCGAUCGCCGAAAGACGAUGAGGACUUAAAAACUUUAACUGAUGCCUCCAAUCACCGAAAAACGACGAGGACUUAAAACUUUUUAGAAAGCAUGCAAUAUAUCUUUACUCGCCUUAAAUCACGUAUGAGUGACAAGGUCUUUCUUCAAAACCUUUUUGGAAAACAGCAAACAUGCCAUCUGAAAACGCUUUAUACUUCGUAAACUCUUCUUUUAUUGGGUGGCCUCAUUAAAACCCUCCUUAGGGAAAAAAGAGUGCCCUCUUCAACUGUUUCAUCCGAGAGAGACAUUGGAAUAUAACUUUUGUGUUUGUCCUUACUUACAAGGCUCUUAACUAUAGUACAACUUCAGGUGCGGGGCGUUCCAAGUGCGAGGAAUCGCCCUUCCUUCCAGCGUCUCCAAGCGGUAGGCGCCGUUCCCGAGCGCCUCGGUUAUUCUGAACGGUCCAGUCCACUUGGGCGACAGUUUAUUCUCCAUCUCGUACUGGUGGGCCUUCCUCAUCACCAGGUCGCCUUCUCUAAACUGCCUUGGCAUCACCUUCGAGUUAUAUCUUCGUUCAACCCUCCUCUUUACCGCCUCAACCUUCAAUCUCGCUUCCUCUCUAACCUCAUCCAGUAGAUCCAGGUUCAACCUUCUCUCUUCAUUCGAGUCUUCCUCUACAAAGUUCAAGAAUCUCGGCGAGCUCUCCUGAAUCUCCACUGGAAUCAUCGCAUCACACCCAUAGACUAGGCUGAACGGGGUCUCAUGGGUUCCUGACUGCUCGGUGGUAUGGUAUGCCCAGACUAUACGGGGCACCUCCUCAGCCCAGCUUCCCUUGGCUUUUUCUAGCCUUCUUUUCAAACCUCUCAGCAACACCCGAUUAGCUGACUCCACCUGGCCAUUUGACUGAGGGUGCUCGACGGAUGCAAACACUUGUUGAAUUCCCACCCGCAAAGCUUCUUCAACAGGUGGCUUGCAAACUGAGUCCCAUUAUCCGACACCAGGCGUUUAGGCNNNNNNNNNNNNNNNNNNNNNNNNNNNNNNNNNNNNNNNNNNNNNNNNNNNNNNNNNNNNNNNNNNNNNNNNNNNNNNNNNNNNNNNNNNNNNNNNNNNNCCCCACAAGCUCCUGCUUCCCCAGUCCAAGCGAUCCCGCUGGCCACUGCGCCACCUGCAAUUGAGGCCCAAGAGCCAAAUUUCAUGGAGGACCCCCCGAGCGCCUCCACACCAUACGUAUCAGCUGGAGGGGGUCCCCCUUCAAAUGCUUCACCUGCGGAGGCUGCUCCAAUCGGGGAUGAGGUUGCUCAUACCUCUCCGAUUCUGAUCACCGAAUCCCCGAUUCCGUCGCCACGCCAAAAAGCGCCUACUGAAGAACCUGCUAAGGAAGGUGGCGACGAGAACCAACAACAGGCUCCCAUAGCGCCUCUACAUGCAACAAACCUCCCUCUCGAGGUUACAAGGAUGUGGGAGCCUCUACCUGCUAAGCUGAAGACGAUAGCAGAUGACAUCCCCGCCGUCAUAACCAGAGCUGUGGAGGGCUCCACCAGGAAACUCCAGGACGACCUCUUCAACCUCAAAACUGAAAACAGCACUAUAAGGGUCGAGGUGGAGAAGUUGUCCUUCAACCUGACGCUCGCGGAAAUCGAACACUCCCGAGUGGAGGACGCAAUGAGCACCGAGCUCAGGCUGGCGCGCAAGGAGGCCACUGACCUUCGCCACAAGGUGCAACUACUUGCUCAAGAAAAGAUUGAACUGGAGAGCAAGAUUGUGCCCUAUCGCGUCAAGGUGGCUGACCUGGAGGCUCUUAUAAAAACUGACGCCGUCAAGGUGAAGAAACUAGAGCAAAGGUCAGCCGACCGGGAGAAACUCCUUGGACAGGUGGAAAAGGCGAGGGACGACGCCAUAGCUGAUCUUGCCGAGGCCAACAAAGAGAAAGGAAAGGUAGCUGCUGAAUUGGCCCAAGCACAAGCGGAAUCCAAGAAGGUUGCUGAAGACCUUCUCCAGGCUCAAGAGACCAAUGAACAACUCAAGAAACAGGUUGAAGAGCUGGAGCAACAGAAUAAGGAGCUGAAAGAGCAAACUGAAGAUCUCAAUAAGCGGAUUGAGGAACUUCAGAAGCAGAUUGAAGAACUCAAGCUGAACUCUGCUCAAAUUCUGGCUGCCGGAUUCGAAGCUGCGCGGGAACAAUUUGCCUGCUUAUUCCCCGACCUGGACCUCAGCAUGGUGUCUCUUGACAACGAGGUAGUGGAUGGAAAGGUGGUCCCUGCUGAAGAUUAAACGAUUCUCUCCAUCUGCUACUUUCGUGCCUUUUCCUUGCAUAUACUUUUGUAAUAAACUCACAUUUUCUUGGACAUGUAUUUACCGAGUUGGCGUGUAUUUUCUUGAACUGAUACUUUGCUUAAUGAAGUUACUUUCGCAUUUCUUCUUGUAAUCCCUUUGUUUACCUUUAACUUUCCUUGCAUGAUUUACUUUCAACGAAAUAACUUAGUAAUCUCGUAGGCACGAUCUUGUACUUGGCUGUUUCGAACCAUCUCAACUUCGAAUAAUAAUCACAUUGAUCAACUCGUAACUUAAGGCAAUAAACCUUAGCGUAAAAUGAUACCUUAAGCAAUGGACUUUAACUCAACCCCUGGCUUUAUAACACCGCUACACCCGAUCUGCUUCAUCAAAGUUGUUGAUCGCGGAUAACGGCACUCGAGCAUGAUUUACCGUANNNNNNNNNNNNNNNNNNNNNNNNNNNNNNNNNNNNNNNNNNNNNNNNNNNNNNNNNNNNNNNNNNNNNNNNNNNNNNNNNNNNNNNNNNNNNNNNNNNNGGCAUUGUUUGCAACAUUGGGCAUACUUCUUGCAGUCUUCUCUCAUCGAUGGCCAAUAGUACCCUGCACGGAGAGUCCUCGCGGCCAGAGCUCGACCCCCGACGUGGCUUCCGCAUAUACCUUCGUGGAGCUCUGCCAUGAUUCUCGUGCACUUCUCGCCAUGUAUACAUUCCAGGAGCGGGUGGGUGAACCCAAACCUGUACAGAUCGCCAUCAAUCAGGGUGUACUUGCUAGAAUUCUUCUUUACCUUCCUAGCCUCAGCCGGAUCCAGUGGGAGAAGGCCAUCCGCCAGGCACCGCUUGUACUGUGUUAUCCAAGUGUCUGGCUCAUGUGUAGCGCAGACCUGCAUCACGUUCACCUUCUCUCCCCGACAUGCUCUAAUUCUUGGCGAUCUCAGAGUUUCUUGCGUCAGGGACUUAUGGCUUCUCGCUGCUUUCUCCGUCGACUUGCUUAUCUGAAGGACCAGGUGAUCUUCCACAAAUGCUCUCGGCGUCUUCAGAGUUUCUUGAAUCACCGUCCUCUGCCUACCCCCCUUGCCUGAACUGGCGAGCUUAGCUAGCAAGUCAGCUCGGGCAUUCUGCUCUCUGGGCACAUGCACUACUUCAAAGGAGGCAAAGGAACUCUUCAAUUCCUGCACAUAUUCCAGAUAGGCCGCCCUUUGUGGAUCUUUAGCCUGGAACUCGCCUGUUACUUGCCCUGUGACUAGCAGCGAGUCACUCUUAGCCAUCAGCACCCUAGCUCCCAUCUCCUUGGCCAGCAAAAUUCCGGCGAUCAGCGCCUCAUACUCUGCUUGAUUGUUACUAGCUUUGAAGGCAAAUCUCAAAGAUUGCUCGAUCAGCACGCCGUUGGGCCCUUCUAAAAUGACUCCAGCACCGCUACCCUGCUGGUUCGACGAUCCAUCCACCGAAAGUACCCAACGGAAAUCAACCCCUUCAACUCACGUUGCCUCAGAUGAGAGCUCGACCACGAAAUCUGCAAAGAUUUGCCCCUUAAUCGAGCCUCGGGGCUCAUAUUUGAUAUCAAACUCCGGCAAUUCCACUGCCCACUUCACCAUCCUUCCUGCAACGUCAGGCUUCUUGAAGACCUUCUGGAUGGGCAGGUCAGUCAUCACCAGUAUUGUGAAGCUAUGGAAGUAGUGGCGCAACCUCCUCGCCGAAAAUACCACAGCCAGCGCAGCCUUCUCCAGGGCCUGAUAUCUCGUUUCGGGGCCCUGCAACACCUUGCUCACAAAAUAAAUAGGCUUCUGAGCCUGACAUUGAUCUUGGGCGAGCACCGCACUCACCGCCCUCUCAGUUACAGCAAAAUACAACCUGAGAGGGGUUCCCACCAGCGGUUUGCACAGAACCGGCGAGCUCGCCAGGUACUCCUUCAGCUUGACGAAAGCUUCCUCGCACUCUUUCGUCCAAACAAAUUUAUUGUUGCGCCUCAGGCAUUGAAAGUAGGGAUGGCCCUUCUCUCCGCUAGCUGACACGAAGCGAGACAGGGCUGUCAUCCAUCCUGUUAGCUGCUGGACUUCUUUCACCGUAGCUGGGCUCCUCAUCGCCAAGAUGGCGGCACACUUGUCGGGGUUGGCCUCUAUACCUCUUUCAGUUAAGAGGAAACCCAAAAACUCCCCAGCCUCCACGCCGAAAAUGCAUUUCUCGGGAUUCAGCUUCAAUCUAAACUUGGCGAUCGUUGUGAACAACUCCUCCAAGUCGGCAACGUGCUUGCUCUUUUCCGGCGAGGUCACGACCAUGUCAUCGACGUACGCUUGCACGUUCCUCCCCAGCAUCGGUGCAAGUACUCGAUCCAUCAGCCUCUGGUACGUGGCCCCCGCGUUCUUCAGCCCAAACAGCAUCACCUUGUAGCAAUAGCACGACCUCUCCGUCAUGAAGGCUGUCUUUUCUUCAUCCAUGGGAUGCAUCUUGAU
rnacentral:lncRNA from 1 species